rnacentral:rRNA from 1 species
UACGUAGGCAGCAAGCGUUGUUCGGAGUUACUGGGCGUAAAGCGUGCGUAGACGGUUAUUUAAGUCGGGUGUGAAAGCCCCGGGCUCAACCUGGGAAUUGCAUUCGAGACUGAAUAGCUAGGGUACGGUAGAGGGAAGCGGAAUUUCCGGUGUAGCGGUGAAAUGCGUAGAGAUCGGGAAGAACAUCGGUGGCGAAGGCGGCCUGCUGGGCUGUUGCUGACGCUGAGGCGCGACAGCGUGGGGAGCAAACAGG